rnacentral:rRNA from 1 species
GACGAACGCUGGCGGCGUGCCUAAUACAUGCAAGUUGAGCGAUGAAGCUUUGUGCUUGCACCAAUUUGAAGAGCAGCUAACGGGUGAGUAACGCGUGGGGAAUCUGCCUUUUUUCGGUGGACAACAUUUGGAAACGACUGCUAAUACCGCAUAACAACUUUAAACAUAAUUUUUAUGUUUGAAAUAUGCAAUUGCAUCACUCAUAGAUGAUCCCGCGUUGUAUUAGCUAGUUGGUGAGGUAAAGGCUCAACAAGGCGAUGAUACAUAGGCGACCUGAGAGGGAGAUCGGGAAAAAUGGGAAUGAGAAAAGGGCCAAAAAGCUACGGGAGGGAGAAGUAGGGAAUCAUGGGAAAUGGAGGAAAGUCAGAACGAGCAAAGACGGGUGAGUGAAGAAGGGGUUCGGAUCGGAAAACUCUGUUGGUAGAGAAGAAAGAUGGGGAGAGUGGAAAGAACAUCAAGUGACGGUAACUAAAAAGAAAGGGACGGCUAACUACGUG